AACUUUUAACAAUGGAUCACUUGGCUCUCGCAUCGAUGAAGAACGCAGCGAAAUGCGAUACGUAAUGUGAAUUGCAGAAUUCUGUGAACCAUCGAAUCUUUGAGCGCAUAUUGCGCUCUUUGGUUUUCCGAAGAGCAUGGUUGUUUGAGUCUCAGUAAACACCUCCAAGCUUUUGGAUUUUUUAAUUGAAAAGCUUUGGACUUGAGCAAUCCAACACCAAUCUUUUUGAGAUCGGUGGCGGGUUGCUUGAAAUGCUGGUGCAGCUGGACAUUCUCCUGAGCUAAAAGCAUAUUCAUUUAGUCCCGUCAAACGGAUUAUUACUUUUGCUGCAGCUAACAUAAAGGGAGUUUGACCGUAUUGGCUGACUGAUGCAGGAUUUCUCAAGGGUCGGCAACGAUUCUUGUUAAACCCGAUCUCAAAUCAAGUAAGACCACCCGCUGAACUUAAGCAUAUCAAUAAGCGGAGGCU
rnacentral:misc_RNA from 1 species